CCUACGGGGGGCAGCAGUGGGGAAUAUUGGACAAUGGGGGGAACCCUGAUCCAGCCAUGCCGCGUGUGUGAAGAAGGCCCUCGGGUUGUAAAGCACUUUCAGUGAGGAAGAACGCCUGGUGGUUAAUACCCAUCAGGAAAGACAUCACUCACAGAAGAAGCACCGGCUAACUCCGUGCCAGCAGCCGCGGUAAUACGGAGGGUGCGAGCGUUAAUCGGAAUUACUGGGCGUAAAGCGCGCGUAGGUGGCUUGAUAAGCCGGUUGUGAAAGCCCCGGGCUCAACCUGGGAACGGCAUCCGGAACUGUCAAGCUAGAGUGCAGGAGAGGAAGGUAGAAUUCCCGGUGUAGCGGUGAAAUGCGUAGAGAUCGGGAGGAAUACCAGUGGCGAAGGCGGCCUUCUGGACUGACACUGACACUGAGGUGCGAGAGCGUGGGUAGCAAACAGGAUUAGAUACCCGAGUAGUC
rnacentral:rRNA from 1 species